rnacentral:tRNA from 1 species
UGGGGUGUAGCUCAGUGGUAGAGCGUGUGCAUAGCAUAGCAUGCACAAGGCCUUAGGUUCAACUCCUGGCACCAAAA